AACUUAAAGGAAUUGACGGGGACCCGCACAAGCAGCGGAGCGUGUGGUUUAAUUCGAAGCAACGCGCAGAACCUUACCAGGGUUUGACAUGGACCUGCACCACUCUGAGAGGAGUGUCCCUUCGGGGCGGGUUCACGGGUGCUGCAUGACUGUCGUCAGCUCGUGCCGUGAGGUGUUGGGUUAAGUCCCGCAACGAGCGCAACCCCUGUUGCCGGUUGAAGCUAUCCGGCGAGACUGCCGCGAGCAACGCGGAGGAAGGUGGGGAUGACGUCAAGUCAGCACGGCCCUUACAUCCUGGGCGACACACACGCUACAAUGGCUGGGACAGAGCGAAGCCAACCGGCGACGGGGAGCGGAUCGCAGCAAACCCAGCCUCAGUACAGAUUGCAGGCUGCAACUCGCCUGCAUGAAGGAGGAGUUGCUAGUAACCGUGGGUCAGCACACCACGGUGAAUACGUUCCCGGGUCUUGUACACACCGCCCGUUACACCACGAAAGUCGGCAACACUUGAAGCCGCCAGGCUAACCCGUCAGGGAGGCAGGCGUCGAGGGUGGGGUCGGUGAUUGGGGUGAAGUCGUAACAA
rnacentral:rRNA from 1 species